AUUCUUGCUCAGAGGCAGUAUCGUAGCCCAUGAAGUCUGUCUGAGGCGCAAUUAUUGCUAGUUGAAAACUUUACCCAAAACCCCGCCCGGAUGACCUGAAACAUGAUUGGUCAUGGCAAUAUUUGACAGUUCCUACGGGGA